rnacentral:rRNA from 1 species
ACUUAAAUUGAAGAGUUUGAUCAUGGCUCAGNAUUGAACGCUGGCGGCAGGCCUAACACAUGCAAGUCGAGC